rnacentral:misc_RNA from 1 species
GUGAAUCAUCGAAUCUUUGAACGCAAAUUGCACUCUCCGCUGAGAGUAUGCCUGUUUGAGUGUCAGCCUAUAAAAAUCGACAUCGUUGCUGUUUCUCGGGGGCGUUCGUCGGAAAUUUUUGCAUCUUAAAUCCUUUUGAUUUAAGUGACUUAAAAUUUUCUUUUGUUGCCGUGAACUUUUCUUAGAUCUAUUUCUUUACACUUGUUAGGUAUCGAUUUUUACU